rnacentral:rRNA from 1 species
UACAGAGGGGGGCAAGCGUUGUUCGGAAUUACUGGGCGUAAAGGGCGCGUAGGCGGCCUGUUAAGUCGAACGUGAAAUCCCCAGGCUUAACCUGGGAACUGCAUCCGAUACUGGAUGGCUUGAAUCCGGGAGAGGGAUGCAGAAUUCCAGGUGUAGCGGUGAAAUGCGUAGAUAUCUGGAGGAAUACCGGUGGCGAAGGCGGCAUCCUGGACCGGCAUUGACGCUGAUGAGCGAAAGCUAGGGGGAGCAAACGGG